rnacentral:tRNA from 1 species
GGGGCGAUGGCGGAAUGGUAGACGCCGGGGACUUAAAAUCCCCUGACAGCAAUGUCGUGAGGGUUCGACUCCCUCUCGCCCCA